UUGCAUAUCUGGAAAUAAAUACUCUUUGUUAAUAAGCAAUCAAACUCCAAAUGGUGCUGCAAACAGAACCACACAUGGACACACCAUUCUUCCAAAGACCCUUAUAUCAACUCCAGGAGGAACGCUAGCUGUCCUUCACUCAAUACCCCCUUUCAGCAGGAAAUAAUGAACUUCGGGUAUUUUCCCAGACAACAAAGCCACUUCAAUAGGUAGAAGGAACUCAUUUGCAGGUAAGAAUUUGGAUGUGGGACUUAGGACUUCUGAGUUAAUGCUGGAAUGACUUAAGACUUUGUGGGGACGAUUAAGAAGCGAUGAUUGUAUUUUACAAUAUGAGA
rnacentral:lncRNA from 10 species